rnacentral:tRNA from 1 species
GCCGGUGUGGCUCCAUGGUUGAGCGUCAGCCUAUGAAUCAGGAGAUCAUGGGUUCGAUUCCCGGUCAAGGGCA